rnacentral:rRNA from 1 species
CUACGAAGGUCCCAAGCGUUAUGCGGAAUCACUGGGCGUAAAGAGUACGUAGGCGGUUUGGUAAGUCAGGUGUGAAAUCCCGGAGCUCAACUCCGGAACUGCAUCCGAUACUGCCAGACUUGAGUAAUGGAGAGGCAGGUGGAAUUCUCGGUGUAGCAGGGAAAUGCGUGGAUAUCGAGAGGAAGACCAAUGGCGAACGCAGCCUGCUGGACAUUUACUGACGCUGAGGUACGAAGGCUAGGGGAGCGAAAGGGAUUAGAAACCCCGGUAGUCC